rnacentral:rRNA from 1 species
GCCAGACUCCUACGGGAGGCAGCAGUGGGGGAUAUUGCACAAUGGGGGAAACCCUGAUGCAGCGACGCCGCGCGAGUGAAGAAGUAUUUCGGUAUGUAAAGCUCUAUCAGCAGGGAAGAAAAAAGACGGUACCUGACUAAGAAGCCCCGGCUAACUACGUGCCAGCAGCCGCGGUAAUACGUAGGGGGCAAGCGUUAUCCGGAUUUACUGGGUGUAAAGGGAGCGUAGACGGCAAUACAAGUCGGAAGUGAAAUACCCGGGCUCAACCUGGGAACUGCUUUGGAAACUGUAUGGCUGGAGUGCUGGAGAGGUAAGCGGAAUUCCUAGUGUAGCGGUGAAAUGCGUAGAUAUUAGGAGGAACACCAGUGGCGAAGGCGGCUUACUGGACUGUAACUGACGUUGAGGCUCGAAAGCGUGGGGAGCAAACAGGAUUAGAUACCCCCGUAGA